GACGAACGCUGGCGGCGUGCCUAACACAUGCAAGUCGAACGGAAGUAAGUGCUUCGGUAUUUACUUUAGUGGCGAACGGGUGAGUAACGCGUGAGGAACCUGCCUUUCAGUGGGGGAAUAACGUUUGGAAACGAACGCUAAUACCGCAUAACGUACGGUCCUCACACUGGGGACUGUACCAAAGGAUUUUAUCGCUGGAAGAUGAGCUCGCGGCCGAUUAGGUAGUUGGUGAGAUAACAGCCCACCAAGCCGACGAUCGGUAGCCGGACUGAGAGGUUGAUCGGCCACAUUGGGACUGAGACACGGCCCAG
rnacentral:rRNA from 1 species